UACGAAAGGGGCUAGCGUUGCUCGGAAUCACUGGGCGUAAAGCGCACGUAGGCGGAUUGUUAAGUCAGGGGUGAAAUCCUGGAGCUCAACUCCAGAACUGCCUUUGAUACUGGCGAUCUCGAGUCCGGGAGAGGUGAGUGGAACUGCGAGUGUAGAGGUGAAAUUCGUAGAUAUUCGCAAGAACACCAGUGGCGAAGGCGGCUCACUGGCCCGAUACUGACGCUGAGGUGCGAAAGCGUGGGGAGCAAACAGG
rnacentral:rRNA from 1 species